UAGAUAGCACAGCCACAAAGUCAAAACUGGGCUAUAUAGAGCAAAGUCAUGACAACAACAAUUUGAGGAUAGUGAGGCAGCUUGCAUAAGAUGUCUCAAGACCAUGCAAGACCUUGGCCCCAGCAGACACCACCACAAGAAAACCCAGGGAUUCAUUAGAUGCUCUCCUCCUCCUCCUGGUGGGCAGCAUUACCUAAUUUACGUUUGUUUCAGUACCAGCUGAUGGAGGGAGAGAUGGACACAUCCCUUCGAGUGAGGGAGUUUUUGAUUGCUGCAGUCUGGAAGAAUACGAUAACAUCUAGAGCGUCUGAGAGGGAUGUGGAGUCGGUCAUGAAAAAGUGGUUGCAGCUGUCAACAGACAGGGAAGAAGGGAGAAAGAAAGAGAUGAGCCAGGAGUGAGUGAUGGGAAGGAUGCAAAAACUUUCCUCAAAAGCCAUUUACAAAGUUAUUGAAUUUAUGAAGAGAGAUGAAAAUGGAGAUGUGGUGCCAGGAGUGUGGGUGAUGGAUGGUGUGUGCAUUCUCGGCUCCUGAGUGGCACAGCGGUCUAAGGCAUUGCAUCUCAGUGCUAGAGGUGUCACUACAGACCCUGGUUCGAUUCCAGGCUGUAUCACAACCGGCCGUGAUUGCAAGUCCCAUAGGGCGGCACACAAUUGCCCCAGCAUCGUCCGGGUUUGGCCGGGGUAGGCUGUCAUUGUAAAUAAGAAUUUGUUCUUAACUUACUUGCCUAGUUAAAUAAAGGUCAAAUUUAAAAAUAAAGAAAUUAAUGUGGCCAACUGUUAAAAGGAAGACACUGGAAUAAACUUUGAGUCACGCCGCAAAGACUGGGUUCCAUUUGAAGUCUUGUGAGGGAGAUAACUGUGUUAAGAUUAGCAACUGCAUUACUUUGGUAAUGAACAUUCUUCUGUCUCAGGACAAGGCUUAUGUUGUCUAUAGGGAGUUAGGGCAGAAAUAAUCCUUCUUUGAUUACCCUAUAAACUCUUUUGAGUUUGUAAUAUAUUUGGUGACCAACCUCUCUCCAAAUCUAAAAAUCAUUAAACUUAAUGAAAAUGUACAGAAGUAUGUCAAGUGAGGGAGACAACUGUGAGAGGGGUGUAUUUGAGGGUGGAGAAUGGUAUGUAGUGAGGGAUGGUAGGUGCUAGCUGGAGGUGGGACAGAUGGGGAGGAUGUGUUCAUCUGACGCUGAGGAUAGGCACAUCUUCCCUGUUUCUUCUUCUUCUCCUGGUGAGCAGCAAGACCUCACUCACUCAUGCUUCAGUACCAGCUGGUGGAGUGAGAGAUGGGGAGGAUCUGUUCAUCUGAUGCCGAGGAUAGACAUAUCUUCCCUGUCUCUAGGAUUGGGCGGUAUAUUGUUUAUGCCAUAUACCGGGUGUAAUGUCUCGACUUGACUCAGACUCAACGGAAUCAUUGACAUGUACUCCAAACCCAUCCAACUGCAUACCCCAAGCAUAGCGUCCAUCUGUUCCUCAUGUGCCUCACAGUGCCCCCCUGGUAUUGCACCACUAGGUGUCGCUAAUACACUACACCGGGGUAUUUGGAAAUGGCCACAGGAUGGUUUUUCAAUACCGUUAAAAAAUGUAUUUUAAGUUUUUCAUUACAUGUUUAUAUUUGUAGCUUCUUUUUAAGUAAAUACCUGCAGUCAAAUUGUGCAAUACUUUAGGAUAUGAAGCAGAUCGGGUUCAUAAUUUCACCUGUCACAUUAUUUUACAUUAUGAAGCUUACCAUAGUUUCCCAGAACAGCUGAGCCAGUCACGUGUUUGUUUGUAAAUAGCACAAUGGGAAAAAGCGGGAGCAGGUGAGUCCAGCAGUGUAUUGACAGGGGUCGCGUUUUAUAUUGAAAGUCAAAUAUUUUUUUUGCUUCAGUACAGUCGUGGCCAAAAGUUAUGAGAAUGACACAAAUAUUCAUUUCCAUAAAGUUUGCUGCUUAUGUGUCUUUAGAUAUUUUUGUCAGAUGUUACUAUGAAAUACUGAAGUAUAAUUACAAGCAUUUCAUAAGUGUCAAAGGCUUUUAUUGACAAUUACAUGAAGUUGAUGCAAAGAGUAAAUAUUUGCAGUGUUUACCCUUCUUUUUCAAGACCUCUGCAAUCCGCCCUGGCAUGCUGUCAAUUAACUUCUGGGCCACAUCCUGACUGAUGGCAGCCCAUUCUUGCAUAAUCAAUGCUUGGAGUUUGUCAGAAUUUGUGGGUUUUUGUUUGUCCACCCACCUCUUGAGGAUUGACCACAAUUUCUCAAUGGGGUUAAGGUCUGAGGAGUUUCCUGGCCAUGGACCCAAAAUAUCGAUGUUUUGUUCCCCGAGCCACUUAGUUAUCACUUUUGCCUUAUGGCAAGGUGCUCCAUCAUGCUGGAAAAGGCAUUGUUUGUCACCAAACUGUUCCUGGAUGGUUGGGAGAAGUUGCUCUCGGAGGAUGUGUUGGUACCAUUCUUUAUUCAUGGCUGUGUUCUUAGGCAAAAUUGUGAGUGAGCCCACUCCCUUGGCUGAGAAGCAACCCCACACAUGAAUGGUCUCAGGAUGCUUUACUGUUGGCAUGACAGAGGACUGAUGAUAGCGCUCACCUUAUCUUCUCCAGACAAGCUUUUUUCCGGAUGCCCCAAACAAUCGGAAAGGGGAUUCAUCAGUCCUCAGC